AGCUUUGCGCAGCGGCGAUAUCGUAAACAAUGAGGGUCUACCGAGUUGCGAUUAUUGCUAGUUGAAAACUAUAACCAAUAUCCCGCCAUGACGACGUGAAAAACCGUCGGCUACGGCAAUUUUUGGAGGUUCGAAAGAAC